AUAUUAGGGUGUGUUUGUAUGUGUGAAUUGUGGGUGAUUAUUCUGUGUAUAGCCUUGUGCCUUACCAGACUGUUUAUUUGUCGAGUGUUCGUUUUUUGUGUUUUGUAUGUUCGGUUUUGAAGAUAAUUAAAAAUCAAGAUGAGCAUUCACGUACCUGCUGCGUUUUGGUCCUCAUUCACCGACAACAACCUUGACAGAUUGUCUCAUCAUUACUUGUUUUUGUAACCCAUCCAUACCCCACAAGACAUGCCACCAGAGGUCUGUUUAAACUGACUGGCCCACAGCUCAGACACCCAUACAUACCCCACAAGACAUGCCACCAGAGGUCUGUUUAAACUACUGGCACACAGCUCAGACACCCAUCCAUACCCCACAAGACAUGCCACCAGAGGUCUCUUCACAGUCCCCAAGUCCAGAACAGACUAUGGGAGGAGCACAGUACUACAUAGAGCCAUGACUACAUGGAACUCUAUUCCACAUCAGGUAACUGAUGCAAGAAGUAGAAUGAGAUUUAAACAACAGAUUAAAAAUACACCUUAUGGAGCAGCAGGGACUGUGAAGAGACACACACAGGUAAACAUUUACACCUGAUAAAACAAGCACUCUACAAACACGUACACAUGGAUGCUGUAUUGUAGAUAUGUGGCCUGAGGUAACACACUAAAUGUAUUGUAGAUAUGUGGCCUGAGGUAACACACUAAAUGUAUUGUAGAUAUGUGGCCUGAGGUAAAACACUAAAUGUAUUGUAGAUAUGUGGCCUGAGGUAACACACUAAAUGUAUUGUAGUUAUGAGGCCUGAGGUAAAACACUAAAUGUAUUGUAGAUAUGUGGCCUGAGGUAAUACACUAAAUGUAUUGUAGUUAUGAGGCCUGAGGUAAAACACUAAAUGUAUUGUAGUUAUGUGGCCUGAGGUAACCCACUAAAUGUAUUGUAGUUAUGAGGCCUGAGGUAAAACACUAAAUGUAUUGUAGAUAUGUGGCCUGAGGUAAUACACUAAAUGUAUUGUAGUUAUGAGGCCUGAGGUAAAACACUAAAUGUAUUGUAGUUAUGUGGCCUGAGGUAACCCACUAAAUGUAUUGUAGAUAUGUGGCCUGAGGUAAAACACUAAAUGUAUUGUAGAUAUGUGGCCUGAGGUAACACACUAAAUGUGUUGUAGUUAUGAGGCCUGAGGUAACACACUAAAUGUAUUGUAGAUAUGAGGUAGUAGUGGUCUAAGGUAACACACUAAAUGUAUUGUAGUUAUGUGGUAGUAGUGGUCUGAGGUAACACACUAAAUGUAUUGUAGUUAUGUGGCCUGAGGUAACACACUAAAUGUAUUGUAGAUAUGAGGCCUGAGGUAACACACUAAAUGUAUUGUAGAUAUGUGGUAGUAGUGGUCUGAGGUAACACACUAAAUGUAUUGUGAAAAGUGUUAUGAAAUGUUAUUGUCAUGUAAUAUUUUAAAUUGUAUAUAACUUCCCUAAUGUUGCUGGACCCCAGGAAGAGUAGCUGCUGCAUUGGCAGGAACUAAUGGGGAUCCAUAAUAAACCCCAGGAAGAGUAGCUGCUGCCUUGGCAGGAACUAAUGGGGAUCCAUAAUAAACCC
rnacentral:lncRNA from 1 species